GGUAAAAUGGCUGAGCCUAGGCUAUAAAUUGUAAAUUUAUCAACGAAUUAUUAAUUCUUUUACCA
rnacentral:tRNA from 1 species